rnacentral:lncRNA from 1 species
UAGUAUUAUGUGUUGUAUGUUAUAUAUUAUAUGUUAUAUAAAUAUUCAAGGAUUGAUAUAGAAGUAAAGACAAAUAAAUAUUGAGACAAAUAUAUUCACGGAUAUGAUAAAAAGCGUUUUUAUUGACCAAAAUGGCAUAUCUUUCUUAAUCUUCCUUCCCCCAAUGGAAUGAGCACAACAUGGUACUAAUACCACCAUUAAAAGGAAAAAAAACUAAA